UAAGGAAUAUUGGACAAUGGCCGCAAGGCUGAUCCAGCCAUGCCGCGUGCAGGAUGAAGGUGCUCUGCAUCGUAAACUGCUUUUAUCUGGGAAUAAACCCCUCUACGUGUAGAGGGCUGAAUGUACCAGAAGAAUAAGGAUCGGCUAACUUCGUGCCAGCAGCCGCGGUAAUACGAAGGAUCCAAGCGUUAUCCGGAUUUAUUGGGUUUAAAGGGUGCGUAGGCGGCUUAUUAAGUCAGUGGUGAAAGCC
rnacentral:rRNA from 1 species